rnacentral:rRNA from 1 species
UGCAGCAAUGCACAGUGGCGCAAGGGUGAGGAACGCGUGAGUAACCUGCCCUUAAGUUGGGAAUAGCUCCUGGAAACGGGAAUUAAUACCGAAUGUGAUCGUCGGGAGACAUCUCUUGAUGAUUAAAGGCCGCAAGGUCGCUUAAGGAGGGGCUCGCGUCCCAUUAGCUAGUUGGUGAGGUAACGGCCCACCAAGGCGAAGAUGGGUAGCUGGUCUGAGAGGACGAUCAGCCACACUGGGACUGAGAUACUGCCCAGACUCC